CCAAAGACUACCGUGUUUUGGGACAUAAAGAAUCUGGCACUAGCAGUCCGACAUCACAGUGCGGAGGGUGUGAUAACUUAAACAACAAAGUACAGUCACUGUGGAAAUUGCCUGUAAAUAUGGAAGGAUGAAAACCUAGAAUCAGUCUACCUGUCCAACUCUCUUCCCAGC
rnacentral:lncRNA from 1 species